AUACUUACCUGGACGGGGUCCAUGGAUGAUCAAGAAGGCCCAUGGCCUAGGUUGGCGACCUCCAUUGCACAGGGGAGGGGUGCCCACCUAACAUCUCCCCAAAUGGGAGAGUGUACGUCAUAAUUUGUGGUUGCGGGGAUACGCGUUCGCGCGGCCCCUAC
rnacentral:snRNA from 1 species